rnacentral:lncRNA from 1 species
UUCAUUGUUGUGUCAUCAGCACCUGGCACAGUGCUGACAUGGUGGUCAAUGCCUAUACCUUGAGUGAAUAUAGGAAAGAGUUCCAAGUUCCCUAAAGCUUUGGCUCAGGAGUGCUCCAGAUUUUACUUUUUUCAUAAGGGGUCUUGGAAAAGGGAAAAAUUGUAAAGAGGUCAUGUGGAGAUGCCAGAUCCCCGUGCAGACCAGUCUGGACAUAGCUUGAAAACUGGA